AACGCACAUUGCACUCUCUGGUAUUCCGGAGAGUAUGCUUGUUUGAGUAUCAGUAAACACCUCAAGUCUCUUUUUUAUUAAAAAAGAGAAUUGGACUUGAGCAAUCCCAACUUUUUCUUUCGAGAAAGGCGGGUUGCUUGAAAUGCAGGUGCAGCUGGACAUUCUUCUGAGCUAAAAGCAUAUUUAUUUAGUCCCGUCAAACGGAUUAUUACUUUUGCUCUAGCUAAUAUAAAGGUCGAAUGUACUAUAUGCUGACUGAUGCAGGAUUACCAAGUUUUACUAGCUAAAACUUGUAAACUCGAUCUCAAAUCAAGUAAGACUACCCGCUGAACUUAA
rnacentral:misc_RNA from 1 species